GACGAACGCUGGCGGCGUGCUUAACACAUGCAAGUCGAACGGAAAGGCCUCUUUCGGGGGGUACUCUCGUGUCGAACGGGUGAGUAACACGUGAGUAACCUGCCCUUGUCUUUGGGAUAACUUCAGGAAACUGUGGCUAAUACUGGAUAGGAGCUCCUGCUGCAUGUUGGGGGUUGGAAAGUUUCGGCGGGUGGGGAUGGACUCGCGGCUUAUCAGCUUGUUGGUGGGGUAUUGGCUUAUCAAGGCUUUGACGGGGAGCCGGGCUGGGAGGGUGACCGGCCAAAAUGGGACUGGGAUACGGGCCAGACUCCUACGGGAGGCAGGAGUGGGGAAUAAUGCAAAAUGGGUGGAAGCCUGAUGCAACAAAGCCGGGGGCGGGAAGACGGGCUUCGGGUUGGAAACCGCUUUCGCUCAUGACGAAGCUGUGUGUGACGGUAGUGGGUAAAGAAGCACCGGCUAACUACGUG
rnacentral:rRNA from 1 species